UACAUUAAAAUACGCAACCAACCGUCAUUGAACCGUCCAAUCAGAUCAAAGGAGUAAUCGUCGUAUAUCGUGCGUUAUCGAUAAUGUUCGGUGCCUGGAGAAAAUUGACAAUUGACAAGAGAAUUGUUUAUUAUUUUUGACUUUUUAGUUCGUUUAAUUUAAUAAUUACUAAAACCAGUAGUUCGAAAGAUAUAUUUAAAAAUAAAAGAUAAAAAUCCAAAAAAUUAAUUAUCUAUUAACGUGGAUUUGGACGACAAUAGCAUUUUUAGUUUGUGAUAUUUCAUGUGAUGAUCAUUUUCAUGUUCAUCGUCUUUGAAUUGACAUGAGGAUAUCUAUGGAAAAGUAACUAAUCUGAAAGUAAGCCAACAUAUCGUUUGUCCUUUGUGUGCUAAAGAAAAGAUUUUCUUUUCGCAUCAUGAGGAAGUAUUACAUCAAUUAAAAAAUGUUAGGAAGUUGAUUACUUGUCAUGGAAAAGUAUACCAAUGGAAAUUAUUUGUUAAAGAAGUAUAAUUCUAAGGGUUUUAAGAAUAAAUUGGUUGAACCCAAAAUCUGGAGGAAGUACCUAUAUCCAUACACAGAAUAUGCCCAUUAAAAAUACUAGUCCAAAUUUGCUUUAAUGGUAGACAAUUAUUCAAUACAAAUUAACUUUUUAAGUGACUGAAAUAUUAAAUAGUUUAGAAUAUGGUAUAACAAUGUAAAAAAAUAUUAUUUUCAGGAACGAUUAGGGCCCGAUAUAUUUGAAACUCAUGUUGGACAUAGUAUUGAGUUGGGUAGAAUAUUAUUCUACGUUAAGUGAGGGUAUCAGAUACCUAUUAUUGUACUGUAUUUUAAUAUAUACAUUAGAAUUGUUGGUUUUUU
rnacentral:lncRNA from 1 species